GCGCUCGCUUUGUCAGCACAUAUACUAAAAUUGGAAUGAUACAGACAAGAUUAGCAUGGCCCCUGCUAAGGACGACAGAUUAUCUAAAAUGGCAUCAUUUUAUU
rnacentral:snRNA from 1 species